rnacentral:rRNA from 1 species
AGCGAACGCUGGCGGCAGGCCUAACACAUGCAAGUCGAACGAACCUUUCGGGGUUAGUGGCGGACGGGUGAGUAACACGUGGGAACGUGCCUUUAGGUUCGGAAUAACGCAGGGAAACUUGUGCUAAUACCGAAUGUGCCCUUCGGGGGAAAGAUUUAUCGCCUUUAGAGCGGCCCGCGUCUGAUUAGCUAGUUGGUUGAGGUAAUGGCUCACCAAGGCGACGAUCAUUAGCUGGUCUGAGAGGAUGAUCAGCCACAUUGGGACUGAGACACGGCCCAGACUCCUACGGGAGGCAGCAGUGGGGAAUCUUGCGCAAUGGGGGAAAGCCUGACGUAGCCAUGCCGCGUGAGUGAUGAAGGUCUUAGGAUUGUAAAGUUCUUUCACCGGGGACGAUAAUGACGGUACCCGGAGAAGAAGCCCCGGCUAACUUCGUG